UACAGAGGUCCCAAGCGUUGUUCGGAUUCACUGGGCGUAAAGGGUGCGCAGGCGGCCGAGUGUGUGAGGCGUGAAAGCCCGGGGCUUAACCCCGGAAUUGCACCUCAAACUACACGGCUAGAGCAUUGGAGAGGGUAGCAGAAUUCACGGUGUAGCAGUGAAAUGCGUAGAUAUCGUGAGGAAUACCAGAGGCGAAGGCGGCUACCUGGACAAUUGCUGACGCUGAGGCGCGAAAGCGUGGGGAGCAAACAGG
rnacentral:rRNA from 1 species